rnacentral:rRNA from 1 species
UACGUAGGGGGCUAGCGUUGUCCGGAUUUAUUGGGCGUAAAGAGCGUGUAGGCGGCCAGGUAGGUCUGCUGUGAAAACUCGAGGCUCAACCUCGAGACGUCGGCGGAAACCAUCUGGCUAGAGUCCGGAAGAGGAGAGUGGAAUUCCUGGUGUAGCGGUGAAAUGCGCAGAUAUCAGGAAGAACACCGGUGGCGAAGGCGGUUCUCUGGGCCUUACCUGACGCUGAGGAGCGAAAGCGUGGGGAGCGAACAGG